UGGGGAAUAUUGCACAAUGGGCGCAAGCCUGAUGCAGCCAUGCCGCGUGUGUGAAGAAGGCCUUCGGGUUGUAAAGCACUUUCAGCGAGGAGGAAGGUGGUGAACUUAAUACGUUCAUCAAUUGACGUUACUCGCAGAAGAAGCACCGGCUAACUCCGUGCCAGCAGCCGCGGUAAUACGGAGGGUGCAAGCGUUAAUCGGAAUUACUGGGCGUAAAGCGCACGCAGGCGGUUUGUUAAGUCAGAUGUGAAAUCCCCGGGCUCAACCUGGGAACUGCAUUUGAAACUGGCAAGCUAGAGUCUCGUAGAGGGGGUAGAAUUCCAGGUGUAGCGGUGAAAUGCGUAGAGAUCUGGAGGAAUACCGGUGGCGAAGGCGGCCCCCUGGACGAAGACUGACGCUCAGGUGCGAAAGCGUGGGGAGCAAACAGAUUAGAUACCCUGGUAGUCACGCUGUAAACGAUGUCGAUUUUGGAGGUUGUGCCCUUGA
rnacentral:rRNA from 1 species